AGAGAGAGACAUGCGCGCAUAUCAAUAAGCGGAGGAAAAGAAACUAACAAGGAUUCCCCUAGUAACGGCGAGUGAAGCGGGAAGAGCUCAAAUUUGAAAUCUUAAAGGGUUUCCCUUUACGAAUUGUAGUUUAAAGAAGUGUUUUCUGUUGAGGUUUUGGUAAAAGUUCUUUGGAAUAGGACAUCAUAGAGGGUGAGAAUCCCGUAUUUGACCUUUACUUUCAACUUUGUGAUACACUUUCAAAGAGUCGGACUGUUUGGGAAUGCAGUCCAAAAUGGGUGGUAAAUUUCAUCUAAAGCUAAAUAUUGGCGAGAGACCGAUAGCGAACAAGUACCGUGAGGGAAAGAUGAAAAGAACUUUGAAAAGAGAGUUAAACAGUACGUGAAAUUGUCAAAAGGGAAGCGUUUGACACCAGUGUUGUUUUUCUGAAAAUCAAUUUAAAGAACUGUUUAUGCUAAGUUGUUUAGACUUUAUCAGCUAACUGUUUAGUUUUGAGCUUUUCUUUAAUGCACUUUUCAGUUAACAAGUCAACAUCAAUUUCUUUUGCUGUAAAAAAGCUUGAGGAAGGUGGCUUGAGAUUCGUCUUAAGUGUUUAUAGCCUCUUGCCUAUGCAGUCGGAGAGAUUGAGGUCUGCAGCGUAGAUCCUUCGGGGCUAAAUGCAUUUGUGCUAAGUUAUAGCAUUUUAUAGACAACUUGUUGACUAUGAUUUGUCUUGUAGCUUACUCGCUUAUGUUAUUUUACCUACGCUUAGGAUGUUGAGCGCAUGUCUCUCUCU
rnacentral:rRNA from 1 species